AUGCGUGCUUGUGCCAUUGAGGGAGGCACACAGGUCUUAUGCUUUGCCAGCAGUCUUUCUCAUCAGUGCCUGGUGGAUGCCCUUGGAAAAGACUUCAUGAGUGGAUAUGGACUCCACUUUAGAUCAGCAAAUCUGAUGGCACUACCACUCAAAGAGAUGCAAAAUACAACUGUGAUGGUUAAUACCGAGUGCCAACUUGAUUGGACUGAAGAUUUACUGACUUCAUAUCAGCAUUUAAGUAUUGUUAACUUUAUGCGUCCUCUUCCUGCCUGGUGUUGGUGGUUUGUUCUCAGAGGCUUGCGUCAGGAAGCUGAUAGGAAGGUGUCUUCAGGAAACGCUAAAAUUGGGCCCCCUGCCCCCAACUUCAAAGCCACAGCCGUUAUGCCAGACAGUCAGUUUAAAGAUAUCAGCCUGUCUGACUGCAAAGGAAAUAUGUUGUAUUCUUCUUUUACCCGCUUGACUUCACUUUUGUGUGCCCCACAGAGAUCAUUGCUUUCAGUGAUACGAAGAAUUUAAGAAAUUCAACUGCCAAGUGAUUGGUGCUUCUGUGGAUUCUCACUUCUGUCAGCUGGCAUGGAUCCACACCCCUAAGAAACAAGGAGGACUGGGACCCAGGAACAUUCCUUUGGCCUCAGACCCGAAGUGCACCAUUGCUCAGGAUUAUGGGAUCUUAAAGGCUGAAGAAGGCAUCUCAUUCAGGGGCCUCUUUAUCGUUGAUGAUAUGGGUAUUCUUCGGCAGAUCACUGUAAAUGACCUCCCUGUUGACUGCUCUGUGGAUGAGACUUUGAGACUAGUUCAGGCCUUCCAGUUCACUGACAAACACAGGGAAGUGUGCCCAGCUGGCUGGAAACCUGGCAGUGAUACUAUCAAGCCUGAUGUCCAAAAGAGCAAAGAAUAUUUCUCCAAGCAGAAGUGAGUGCUGGGCUGUUUUAGUGCCAGGCUGCAGUGAGAACCCCUGAGAACAAAAUCUCUUUUGUGUGUUUUUUUUUUUCCAUGAGUAAAAUACAAGACUUCAGAUUCAGCCGAAUUGUGGUGUGUUACAAGGCAGGCCUUUCCUACAGGGGGUGGAGAGACCAGCCUUUCUUCUUUUGGAAGGGAUGGCCUGAGUCGUAUUGUGAGGAGGCCACUGAUUUGUAUGAUGUGUCAGUAGAGGGCAUCAACCCAUUGAUCUUUUGUAGUUUGUAUUAAACUUGAACUGAGAAAAAAA